rnacentral:lncRNA from 1 species
AGAAAGAAGCUGCACUUGUCAGCAACGCACGAUAGGAAAACAAGAGAAAUUCAUGGGCUGCCUCCAGUUCCAGUUGUGGACAGGGAGAAGAAAACAUCUCUCACCAACAGUUAGAGUUGCUCUUUUCUACAGUAAAGCUGGGAAAUAACUCCAACACCAUUUCAAGCUCCCACAACAGAUCUCACACAAGUGAGAAAGCCAUCACUGUCACCCUGGAGAAAAGUCUUAAAAAACAGUAAUUAGAAAAAGGCAAUAACCAG